rnacentral:rRNA from 1 species
UUGGGCGGAGUGUACAAGGCAUGCAAGUCGUGUGGGUUCAGACCCACGGCAAACGGGAGAGUAACACAUUGGUAACCUACCCCAAAGACGGGCAUAACCUUUCGAAAGAGAGGAUAAUACCCGAUGGUAUCAGCUGGCACAAGUCGGUUGAUUAAAGCUUCGGUGCUUUGGGAGGGACCUAUGCCCCAUCAGCUAGUUGGUAAGGUAAUGGCUUACCAAGGCGACGACGGGUACCGGGUGUGAGAGCAUGGCCCGGCUCACUGGGACUGAGACACUGCCCAGACUCCUACGGGAGGCUGCAGUCAAGAAUAUUCCUCAAUGGCCGAAAGGCCGAAGGAGCGACGCCGCGUGUGUGAUGAAGCUUUUCGGAGUGUAAAGCACUUUUAUAUGGGACGAACAAAUGACGGUACCAUAUGAAUAAGGGGCUGCUAAACUCGUGCCAGCAGCAGCGGUAAUACGAGUGCCCCGAGCGUUAUCCGGAUUUAUUGGGCGUAAAGCGUCCGCAGGCGGUUUGUAACAUCUUUUGUUAAAUCCCAAGGCUUAACUUUGGGACCGCGAGAGAUAUGGACAAACUAGAGACUGGGAGAGGUAAGCGGAAUUGCUGGUGUAGGGGUUAAAUCCGUUAAUAUCAGCAGGAACACCAAAUGCGAAGGCAGCUUACUGGAACAGUUCUGACGCUCAUGGACGAAAGCGUGGGUAGCGAAUGGGAUUAGAUACCCCAGUAGUCCACGCCGUAAACGUUGGAUGCUAAACAUUGGAAGUAUCGACCCUUUCAGUGUUGUUUAAUCAAGCUAACGCCUUAAGCAUCCCGCCUGGGGAGUACGGUCGCAAGAUUAAAACUCAAAGGAAUAGACGGGGACCCGCACAAGCGGUGGAGCAUGUGGUUUAAUUCGACGAUAAGCGAGGAACCUCACCAAGGUUUGACAUUUAGCUGCAGACCCCUGGAAACAGGGGAGCCUUCGAGGGUGCUAAACAGAUGCUGCAUGGUUGUCGUCAGCUCGUGUCGUGAGAUGUACCGUUAAGUCGGAAAACGAGCGCAACCCUUACCCUAUGUUUUAUAUGUCAUAGGGAACUGCCUACUUUAAGUGGGAGGAAGGUGGGGAUGACGUCAAAUCAGCAUGGUUCUUACACCUUGGGCGACACACGUGCUACAAUGGGAGAUACAAAAGGACGCCAAACGGUAACAUGGAGCAAAGCCCCAAAAUCUUCCUCAGUUCGGAUUGAGGUCUGCAACUCGACCUCAUGAAGCUGGAAUCGCUAGUAAACGCGUAUCAGCCACGGCGCGUUGAAUACGUUCUCGGGCCUUGUACACACCGCCCAAGGGC